GAUGAACGCUGGCGGCGUGCCUAAUACAUGCAAGUCGAGCGAACGGACGAGAAGCUUGCUUCUCUGAUGUUAGCGGCGGACGGGUGAGUAACACGUGGAUAACCUACCUAUAAGACUGGGAUAACUUCGGGAAACCGGAGCUAAUACCGGAUAAUAUUUUGAACCGCAUGGUUCAAAAGUGAAAGACGGUCUUGCUGUCACUUAUAGAUGGAUCCGCGCUGCAUUAGCUAGUUGGUAAGGUAAAGGCUUACCAAGGCAACGAUGCAUAGCCGACCUGAGAGGGGGGUCGGCCACACUGGAACUGAGACACGGUCCAGACUCCUACGGGAGGCAGCAGUAGAGAAUCUUCCGCAAUGGGCGAAAGCCUGACGGAGCAACGCCGCGUGAGUGAUGAAGGUCUUCGGAUCGUAAAACUCUGUUAUUAGGGAAGAACAGAUGUGUAAGUAACUGUGCACAUCUUGACGGUACCUAAUCAGAAAGCCACGGCUAACUACGUG
rnacentral:rRNA from 1 species